rnacentral:piRNA from 1 species
UUCAGGUUAGCCAAGGUAUGGUGCUCA